GUCGGCUCAUCACAUCCUGGGGCUGAAGUAGGUCCAAGGGUAUGGCUGUUCGCCAUUUAAAGUGGUACGCGAGCUGGGUUUAGAACGUCGUGAGACAGUUCGGUCCCUAUCUGCCGUGGGCGCUGGAGAACUGGGGGGGCUGCUCCUAGUACGAGAGGACCGGAGUGGACGCAUCACUGGUGUUCGGGUUGUCAUGCCAAUGGCACUGCCCGGUAGCUAAAUGCGGAAGAGAUAAGUGCUGAAAGCAUCUAAGCACGAAACUUGCCCCGAGAUGAGUUCUCCCUGACUCCCUGAGAGUCCUGAAGGAACGUUGAAGACGACGACGUUGAUAGGCCGGGUGUGUAAGCGCAGCGAUGCGUUGAGCUAACCGGUACUAAUGAACCGUGAGGCUUAACCUUGCUAACGCGUUAAGUCGACCGCCUGGGGAGUACGGCCGCAAGGUUAAAACUCAAAUGAAUUGACGGGGCCCCGCACAAGCGGUGGAGCAUGUGGUUAAUUCGAUGCAACGCGAAGAACCUUACCUGGUCUUGACAUCCACAGAACUUUCCAGAGAUGGAUUGGUGCCUUCGGGAACUGUGAGACAGGUGCUGCAUGGCUGUCGUCAGCUCGUGUUGUGAAAUGUUGGGUUAAGUCCCGCAACGAGCGCAACCCUUAUCCUUUGUUGCCAGCGGUCCGGCCGGGAACUCAAAGGAGACUGCCAGUGAUAAACUGGAGGAAGGUGGGGAUGACGUCAAGUCAUCAUGGCCCUUACGACCAGGGCUACACACGUGCUACAAUGGCGCAUACAAAGAGAGCGACCUCGCGAGAGCAAGCGGACCUCAUAAAGUGCGUCGUAGUCCGGAUUGGAGUCUGCAACUCGACUCCAUGAAGUCGGAAUCGCUAGUAAUCGUGGAUCAGAAUGCCACGGUGAAUACGUUCCCGGGCCUUGUACACACCGCCCGUCACACCAUGGGAGUGGGUUGCAAAAGAAGUAGGUAGCUUAACCUUCGGGAGGGCGCUUACCACUUUGUGAUUCAUGACUGGGGUGAAGUCGUAACAAGGUAACCGUAGGGGAACCUGCGGUUG
rnacentral:rRNA from 1 species